GGCACCGUGGCCUAAUGGUAAGGCGUUGCUUUCCGGCUGAGAAGCAUGGCAAAGAUUGUGGGGUAUGUGCACACUACCUAACAGGUUCAUCAAUUGGCUCCAUUGUUAACGGGGUGCAACAGUUCGAGUCCCAUCGGUGUCG